ACGAACGCUGGCGGUAUGCUUAACACAUGCAAGUCGAACGGGUGUAGCAAUACAUCAGUGGCAAACGGGUGAGGAAUAUAGAGGAAUCUUCCCAGCAGUAAGGAAUAACUCUGAGAAAUCAGUGCUAAUGCCAUAUAUCACCGCUUCGGCGGGAAAGAUUUAUCGCUGUUGGAUGAGCCUCUAUCGGAUUAGCUAGUUGGUGAGGUAAUGGCUCACCAAGGCAAUGAUCCGUAGCUGGUCUGAGAGGAUGAUCAGCCACACUGGAACUGAGACACGGUCCAGACUCCUACGGGAGGCAGCAGUGGGGAAUAUUGGACAAUGGGCGCAAGCCUGAUCCAGCAAUACCGCGUGGGUGAUGAAGGUCUUCGGAUUGUAAAGCCCUUUUAGUGAGGAAGAUAAUGACGGUACUCACAGAAAAAGCACCGGCAAACUUCGU
rnacentral:rRNA from 1 species